rnacentral:rRNA from 1 species
ACACGACUACAUUAGACUACCCGCGUAGUCCCAGCCCUAAACGAUGCGCGUUAGGUGUAUCGGUGACCACGAGUCACCGAGGUGCCGAAAGGGAAACCGUGAAACGUGCCGCCUGGGAAGUACGGUCGCAAGGCUGAAACUUAAAGGAAUUGGCGGGGAGCACCACAACGGGUGGAGCCUGCGGUUUAAUUGGACUCAACGCCGGGAAGCUCACCGGAUAAGACAGCGGAAUGAUUGCCGGGCUGAAGACCCUGCAUGACCAGCUG